UACGUAGGGUGCGAGCGUUAAUCGGAAUUACUGGGCGUAAAGCGUGCGCAGGCGGCUUCGCAAGUCAGACGUGAAAUCCCCCGGGCUUAACCUGGGAAUGGCGUUGGUGACUGCACGGCUAGAGUGUGUCAGAGGGGGGUAGAAUUCCACGUGUAGCAGUGAAAUGCGUAGAGAUGUGGAGGAAUACCGAUGGCGAAGGCAGCCCCCUGGGAUAACACUGACGCUCAUGCACGAAAGCGUGGGGAGCAAACAGG
rnacentral:rRNA from 1 species